rnacentral:misc_RNA from 1 species
GGAUGAUAAGAGAAUAAAAUACCAUAGAGAUUACCUAUCAAAUCUAUCCAUUGCUAUUAGGCAAGAAGGCUGCAAUGUCCAAGGCUACUUUGCGUGGUCGCUACUGGAUAAUUGGGAGUGGAACAUGGGAUACACCGUCCGAUUUGGACUCUACUAUGUCGACUACAAGAACAAUCUAACGAGGAUUCCAAAGGCAUCCGUUCAGUGGUUUAAGAGCAUGCUCAAAUCAGAAGACAAACACAUGAAUCAAAC